GCAGUCGAACGCACUCUCGUUAGAUAGAAGAAGCUUGCUUCUGAUUGAUAACAUUUGAGUGAGUGGCGGACGGGUGAGUAACACGUGGGUAACCUGCCCUAAAGUGGGGGAUAACAUUUGGAAACAGAUGCUAAUACCGCAUAAAACCUAGCACCGCAUGGUGCAAGGUUGAAAGAUGGUUUCGGCUAUCACUUUAGGAUGGACCCGCGGUGCAUUAGUUAGUUGGUGAGGUAAAGGCUCACCAAGACCGUGAUGCAUAGCCGACCUGAGAGGGUAAUCGGCCACACUGGGACUGAGACACGGCCCAGACUCCUACGGGAGGCAGCAGUAGGGAAUCUUCCACAAUGGACGAAAGUCUGAUGGAGCAACGCCGCGUGAGUGAAGAAGGUUUUCGGAUCGUAAAACUCUGUUGUUGGAGAAGAACGUAUUUGAUAGUAACUGAUCAGGUAGUGACGGUAUCCAACCAGAAAGCCACGGCUAACUACGUGCCAGCAGCCGCGGUAAUACGUAGGUGGCAAGCGUUGUCCGGAUUUAUUGGGCGUAAAGCGAGCGCAGGCGGUUUUUUAAGUCUGAUGUGAAAGCCUUCGGCUCAACCGAAGAAGUGCAUCGGAAACUGGGAAACUUGAGUGCAGAAGAGGACAGUGGAACUCC
rnacentral:rRNA from 2 species